GAAGUUUUGCUGUCUUAUUCGAUCCUGCAAUUCACACCAAAUCUCGAAGCUGGCUGCGUUCUUCAUCGACCCGUGAACCGAGUGAUCCACUGCUCAGAGU